rnacentral:rRNA from 1 species
GACGAACGCUGGCGGCGUGCUUAACACGUGCAAGUCGAACGGAAAGGCCCUGCUUUUGUGGGGUGCUCGAGUGGCGAACGGGUGAGUAACACGUGAGUAAACUGUCCUUUACUUUGGGAGAACUUCAGGAAACUGGGGCUAAUACAGGAUAGGAGAUCCUGAUGCAUGGUGGGGGAUGGAAAGUUUCGGCGGUUGGGGAUGGACUCGCGGCUUAUCAGCUUGUUGGUGGGGUAGUGGCUUACCAAGGCUUUGACGGGUAGCCGGCCUGAGAGUGUGACCGGCCACAUUGUGACUGAGAUACGGCCCAGACUCCUACGGGAGGCAGCAGUGGGGAUUAUUGCACAAUGGGCGGAAGCCUGAUGCAGCAACGCCGCGUGCGGGAUGACGGCCUUCGGGUUGUAAACCGCUUUCGCCUGUGACGAAGCGUGAGUGACGGUAAUGGGUAAAGAAGCACCGGCUAACUACGUG